GGGGUAGGAUCCCGCUGUAGGCUCGGGUAAGAUAUGCGCCACGCAUGCAGUGCUGAGUUCCCGCAAGCUGCGGAGCCAUGGAGAUCGGCACCGAGAUCAGCCGUAAGAUCCGGAGUGUCAUUAAGGGGAAAUUGCAAGAAUUAGGAGCUUAUGUUGAUAGAGAACUUCCUGAUUACAUUAUGGUGAUGGUGACCAACAAGAAAAGUCAGGACCAAAUGACAGAUGAUCUCUCCCUGUUUCUAGGGAACAACACAAUUCGAUUCACCAUAGGGCUUCAUGGUGUAUUAGAUAAACUUCACUCUGUUACCACUGGACCUUCUGGUCUAAAGUCUUCUGAUACCAACUCUUUGAUAGUAAUGUGUCUUCAAACAAGAGCAGUUUCAGUGGGGGAGAUGAGAGGAAGCAUGAAGCUACAGUGCCACCACGUGCCAUUCCUAGCACUAGACCUGAAAAAAGAGAUUCCAGAGUUCCUACACGUUCACAGGAGUCAAAAACCACCAAUGUCAGGCAGACUUAUGAUGAUGGAGCUGCAACCCGACUAAUGUCAACAGCGAAACCUUUGAGGGAGCCAGCGCCCUCUGAAGAUGUGACUGAUAUUAAGCCAGAACCAGAUGAUCUCAUUGACGAAGACCUGAACUUUGUGCAGCAGAACACUUUAUCUCAGAAAAAACCUACAGUGACACUUACAUAGGUUUCUUCUCGCCCUUCUAUGGAAAUUUAUUGACCACCUGCAAGUAGAAAUGCAGAUAGUGGUGUUCGUUUAAACAGGUUGCAAUUUCAACAGCAGCAAAAUAGUUGCGGUGAGCCGAGAUCGCGCCAUUGCACUCCAGCCUGGGUAACAAAAGCGAAACUCUGUCCCAAAAAAAAAAAAAGAAACAACUUGGAGAAAAUGAGUAUGGAGGAUGAAAACUUUUGGAAGAGAAAGUUCCCUGUUGCAAGUUCAGUUGUUAAAGUAAAAAAAUUCAAUCAUGAUAGAGAAGAGGAGGAAGAAGAUGAUGACUAUGGCUCUCGAACAGAAAGCAUCUCCAGCAGUGUGUCUGUGCCACCAAAUCCUGAAAGGAGACCUUCUCUUCCACCUUCUAAACAAGCUAACAGGAAUCUGAUUUUGAAGGCUGUGUCUGAAACUCCAGAAUCCAUAACAAAAACAACUAACUAUUCCACAGUCCCACAGAAACAGACACUUCCAGUUGCUCCCAGAACUUGAAAUGCUCAAGAAGAAUUGCUGGCAGAAGUGGUCCAGGGACAAAGUAGGACCCCCAUUAAAGAAAAGGAAACAAAAGGAGAUUCCAUAGAAAAAAAUCAAGGAACUCAACAGAGGCAAUUAUUAUCCCAACGACAAAUUGACCCAAUAAUGGCAGAAACUGCAGAUCAGUCAAGACUACUAUGACAUGGAAUCCGUGUUCCAUGCAGACACAAGAUCAUUUACUCUGAAGAAGCCAAAGCUGUCUGAGGAAAUAGUAGUGGCACCAAACCAACAGUCGGGGAUGAAGGCAGAUUCCCUUCGGGUACUUUCAGGACACCUUAUGCAGACACGAGAUUUUGUACAACCAGAUAAACCUACAAGUCCCAAGUUUACAGUGAUGCUGGAUGGUGUCCCCAGUCCCCAAGGAUACAUGUCAGAUCAAGAGGAGGACAUGUGCUUUGAAGGAAUGAAACCCGUAAACCAAACUGCAGCCUCAAACAAGGGACUCAGAGGUCUCCACCCACAGCAGUUGCACUUGCUGAGCAGGCAGCUUAAGGACCCAAAGAGCAGCUUUUCCAACGCUGACAUGAGUGAACUGAGUAUGGCACAGAAACCAGAAAAACUUUUGGAGCGCUGCAAGUACUGGCCUGUUUGUAAAAACGGGGAUGAGUGUGCCUACCAUCACCCCAUCUCACCCUGCAAAGCCUUCCCCAACUGUAAAUUUGCUGAAAAAAUGUUUGUUUGUUCACCCAAAUUGUAAAUAUGAUGCAAAGUGUAUGAAACCAGAUUGUCCUUUCACUCAUGUGAACAGAAGAAUUCCAGCACUGUCUCCAAAACCAGCAGUUGCACCACCAGCACCACUUCCUAGCUCGUAAGAAGAUGGAAUGUCCCUUCUAUCAUCCAAAACACUGUGGUAAGUUGAUCAAUACCUGUAGGUUUAACACUCAGUGUACGAGACCGGACUGCACAUUCUCCCAUCCCACCAUUAAUGUACCACCACAACAUGCCUCGAAAUGGAUUCGACCUCAAACCAGCGAAUAACACUCGGUCCUGCCUGGCAGAAGAUCAUGCAGUUUGGAAGUUUCCAUCUACUGAUGAAUACUCUACAGAACUUGUCAAAUCUUUGAAACUUGGAAUAUAUUUCUUUCAUAAUA